UGGCAAACAAGGAUCUUGGAAGACCUUUGACACCGGGAGGAGGUCGAAUCAUUUGGGUUUUGGAUUUGGGUCCAAUUUUAAUGUGACUGGGUCUACUGCUAUGGCUAUCUUCAAGAAGUUGAAUUUGUGUUGUUUGACUCUUGGCAAUGUGGUGGAUUGAUGUUGUGAGGGUGGUGAACCUGAAGAGACAAUAGCUAAUUUUUGCGAUGGGUCCAUUUUGGGGUUUUGGGUUUUGAUGCUUUUCUUUUUGAAUAGGAA
rnacentral:misc_RNA from 1 species